rnacentral:lncRNA from 1 species
UCUAGUAUGUAGUUUAUCAUAUGCUUAAUUUUAGACUUGAAUCCGACCUUUUUGAAUGUCUGAUUGACCUAUAAACCUACUUAAAAUUCUAUUUCAUUUGAAUGUUUGUAAAAAGCAAUUCAAAUAAUGUUUAAAUAGACCAACAAAUUAAAAAAUCAAUAAGACUAAUAUACAUUUGCAUUGAUUUCUUCGAAUUUACUUAAU